AGAGGGCUGUGGGCGGAAGCGGGGAAGUUUGUGGCGUGACUUCUUAAGGGAGGGUGGUGGCUGAGGGUGGGUGUUGCGAAAGCUGGAAGUAAAUUGCUUCCGAAUGUUUCGCUUCUGUAAUAGCCGCUCCACUCGCCAGAAGCUGCUACCCUGAGCCCGUCUCCACAAUGUGCCUCUGAGGGACCUUGUGGGGCACGCAGCUUCCCGCCCUAUUAAGAGCUUCUCCAGGCAGGGAUUCCGGCGCGGUCUGCGUUUCCCCAGCGCCCCGCUGGAAAUCUUUUUUGACAGGUUUCUAAGGCUGGCUUUUAGCCCUGACCCUUUUGCUCUUGAGCAGCAGGAACUACCCUCAGGGCUAGAAGCUACAAGUAAAACCAUACUAUUUUAAAAGUCAUUUGAAAACCCCACUAAAGCGAUGUGUCUUUCCCAACUAGGACUUUUACAUCUGUGAAACAUGACGUUCUGGCUUCCAGGAAUCUCCCGCUUUCUCUUCCAAAAGCAACCAAAUUUUAAAUUCUAGCGAAACUGCUGCCCUCUGCCUCCCUAUUUCCUGACCCAGUCUCAGUCACCCAGCAAUAUCCUGUGCUUCUCUCACCAAAAACCCUGUCCUGAGAGACUAUUUCAUACUAUGGAAUAAAGACUGGCACCAGGCACUUUUCUCCUAUUGGUCACCUAAAUUGAUGAUAGACGGAUACCACACAUAUGCGUUUAUAUAUUGUAGAUUGUAGCAGGGAUCAAAGCCUUAAGGAGAUGUGGUAAAAUAAUGUAAUUAUAGCUCCGAACCAAUUGGGUAAAAAAAGGAUCUGCACUCUUAGAUUCUAAAGCAGGUUAUGAAUUUUUGGAAAAACACCACUAAAGCGAUGUGUCUUUUCCAGUGCAUGAUAUCAAGGUACAGAUGACAUCGGUUUCUCCCAGUAUAGGUGGUAUUCACUAAGGUACACACCUUCCGGAUAUUCCAAUAUGCCUCCUAGAAAAGCAUGCCCUUCUGAGUGGAAAUGAUACCAUUACUCUAAUGAUGCAGUCCAUAAUCAAAGCAUCAUUUUUUUGACAGUGAUAUCAUGUUAAUCUUGCUUUUAGAAAAGUACUAUGUCAUUUCAUGUUAUUGUUAAACUUUCCCUAUAUUCUGUACCUUUGCAAUUCAUUUUUUGAUAAAAGAGGAAGAUCUUAUAUCUGUCACAUUUCGUCUGUUACAAUUGGCCCAUUGUUCUAGCUUAUCAAGACCUUUUGGAUUUGAUGGUGUUAUGUAUCGCAUUCACCGCCCUUUCCAAUAUAAUUGUCACCCAUAAAGUUGAUAUAUCUAUCCAUAAUACAAAAAGAGAGCAGGAAUUUUUGCUCUUGUUGUUUGUUUUUUUGAGAUGGAGUCUCACUCUGUAACCCACGCUGGAGUGCAGUGGCGCAAUGUUGGCUCACUGAAACCGCAUCCCAGGUUCGAGCGAUUCUCCUGCCUCAGCCUCCCGAGUAGCUGAAUUUUUAAGGUGAGAGUAUUUUGUUUAUGUGGCUCCAUACUCUGUCCAGAAAUAUUUAUCUGGCAUUUGAGUAUUAGAGUAAGAUGAAGUAAUACAUUCCUCAGCUUCUUUCAUUCACAUGGUCUCUUGUUAAUGACCCUUGAUUUUGCAUAAUUAACAUAAAGCAAAUCUCCUUUGUAAAGGCUUCUGCUUUUCUAGAGGCACUGAAAAACUUUAUAAAAGCAUUGAAUUUUCUUAUGAAAAGGAAGCUAAUAACUACCUCAGUUACAUGUCUGGCAGCAUUGGAGAUAAGGCUGUGCUACUUAACUUUCUACUUCUUGUUAAAUGGCAAACCGUAUUGUUGAUUUAUAACAACAUAUUGUGUUAAGGAAUAGGCAAUGGUAGUGCUUAUGGAAACUUUGUACUCUUGAGCAUAAAUAUAUAAUAGAGUUUGGAUAUUUGUCCCUGCUCAGAUCUCAUGUUGAGUUAUAAUACCCGAUGCUGGAGAUGGGCCUGGUGGGAGGUGUUUAGAUUGUGGGGGUGGAUCCCUCAUGAAUGGCUUGGACUAUCACCUUGGUGAUAAGUGAGCUCUUGCUCUGAGUUCACAUGAGAUCUGGUCACUUAAAGGUGUGUGGCACCUGCCCCGUACUCUCGCUGUCUUGCUCCUGCUUUCACCAUGUGACAUGCCUGUUUCCCCUUCGCCUUCUUCCAUGAUUAUAAGCUUCCUGAGGCUGCCCCAGAAGCCAAGCAGAUGUCAGCACCAUGUUUCCUAUAAAGCCUGCAGAACUGUGAGCAGAUUAAACCUCUUUUCUUUA